rnacentral:rRNA from 1 species
UGGGGAAUAUUGCACAAUGGAGGGAACUCUGAUGCAGCGACGCCGCGUGAACGAAGAAGGCUUUCGAGUCGUAAAGUUCUUUUAUAUGGGAAGAUAAUGACGAUACCAUAAGAAGAAGCCCCGGCUAACUACGUGCCAGCAGCCGCGGUAAUACGUAGGGGGCUAGCGUUGUCCGGAAUCACUGGGCGUAAAGGGUUCGCAGGCGGAAAUGCAAGUCAGGUGUAAAAGGCAGUAGCUUAACUACUGUAAGCAUUUGAAACUGCAUAUCUUGAGAAGAGUAGAGGUAAGUGGAAUUUUUAGUGUAGCGGUGAAAUGCGUAGAUAUUAAAAAGAAUACCGGUGGCGAAGGCGACUUACUGGGCUCAUUCUGACGCUGAGGAACGAAAGCGUGGGUAGCAAACAGG